AUCUCGGUGGUGUAGUGGUAGCACGCGUUUGUGUCAUGAACGAAACGCAGGUUCGACUCCGGUCUAAGGUC